GCUUACGGCCAUACCAGCCUGGGUACGCCCCGAUCUCGUUUGAUCUCGGAAGCUAAGCAGGGUCGGGCCUGGUUAGUACUUGGAUGGGAGACCGCCUGGGAAUACCAGGUGCUGUAAGCA
rnacentral:rRNA from 1 species